rnacentral:rRNA from 1 species
GCAAGUCGAGGGGUAACAGGGUAUUCGGACCGCUGACGACCGUCGCACGGGUGAGUAACGCGUAAGCAACCUACCGUACAAAGGAGAAUAGCCCGGUGAAAACCGGAUUAAUGCUCCAUAAAGCAGGGAUCCCGCAUGGGAAUAUUUGCUACAGUUUUAUCGGUGUACGAUGAGCAUGCGUGACAUUAGCUAGAUGGUGAGGUAACGGCUUACCAUGGCAACGAUGUCUAGGGGGUCUGCAAGGAAGGUC